AUUGAACGCUGGCGGCAUGCUUUACACAUGCAAGUCGAACGGUAACAGGUCUUCGGAUGCUGACGAGUGGCGAACGGGUGAGUAAUAUAUCGGAACGUGCCCAGUCGUGGGGGAUAACGUAGCGAAAGUUACGCUAAUACCGCAUACGAUCUAAGGAUGAAAGCGGGGGAUCGCAAGACCUCGCGCGAUUGGAGCGGCCGAUAUCAGAUUAGCUAGUUGGUAGGGUAAAGGCCUACCAAGGCGACGAUCCGUAGCGGGUCUGAGAGGAUGAUCCGCCACACUGGGACUGAGACACGGCCCAGACUCCUACGGGAGGCAGCAGUGGGGAAUUUUGGACAAUGGGCGCAAGCCUGAUCCAGCCAUGCCGCGUGAGUGAAGAAGGCC
rnacentral:rRNA from 1 species